rnacentral:rRNA from 1 species
GACAAACGCUGGCGGUAUGCCUAACACAUGCAAGUCGAACGGACAGAACAGGGAAGCUUUUCGGAGUGGAACUGGAAAGUUAGUGGCGGAUGGGUGAGUAACGCGUGGACAACCUACCUUGUAAAGGGGAAUAACCUCGAGAAAUCGAAGCUAAUACCCCAUAAUAACCUUGCUUCGCAUGAAGUAAGGAGGAAAGGCGGCCUUAGCGCUGUCGAUACAAGAUGGGUCCGCGUCUGAUUAGCUAGUUGGUGAGGUAAAGGCUCACCAAGGCGACGAUCAGGAGCCGGCCUGAGAGGGUGAACGGCCACAUUGGGACUGAGACACGGCCCAAACUCCUACGGGAGGCAGCAGUGGGGAAUCUUCCGCAAUGGGCGAAAGCCUGACGGAGCAAUGCCGCGUGAGUGAAGAAGGCCUUCGGGUUGUAAAACUCUGUCCUUAUCGAAGAGAGAGUGUUGUAGUAACUGACAAUACUAGGACGGUAGAUGAGGAGGAAGCCCCGGCUAACUAUGUG